GAACGAUAUUGCGCGUCGGACGAUUAAACCCGGCCGAUGCACACAUUCUUGAGUGCCUAU
rnacentral:rRNA from 1 species